UGGGGAAUAUUGGACAAUGGGCGAAAGCCUGAUCCAGCCAUGCCGCGUGUGUGAAGCAGGUCUUCGGAUUGUAAAGCACUUUAAGUUGGGAGGAAGGGCAUUAACCUAAUACGUUAGUGUUUUGACGUUACCGACAGAAUAAGCACCGGCUAACUCUGUGCCAGCAGCCGCGGUAAUACAGAGGGCGCAAGCGUUAAUCGGCAUUACUGGGCGUAAAGCGCGCGUAGGUGGUUUGUUAAGUUGGAUGUGAAAUCCCCGGGCUCAACCUGGGAACUGCAUUCAAAACUGACUGACUAGAGUAUGGUAGAGGGUGGUGGAAUUUCCUGUGUAGCGGUGAAAUGCGUAGAUAUAGGAAGGAACACCAGUGGCGAAGGCGACCACCUGGACUAAUACUGACACUGAGGUGCGAAAGCGUGGGGAGCAAACA
rnacentral:rRNA from 1 species